CUUUUACAAUGAAGAGUUUGAUCCUGGCUCAGGAUGAACGCUAGCUACAGGCUUAACACAUGCAAGUCGAGGGGCAUCAGGAAGAAAGCUUGCUUUCUUUGCUGGCGACCGGCGCACGGGUGAGUAACACGUAUCCAACCUGCCCUUUACUCGGGGAUAGCCUUUCGAAAGAAAGAUUAAUACCCGAUGGGAUAAUGAUUCCGCAUGGUCUGAUUAUUAAAGGAUUCCGGUAAAGGAUGGGGAUGCGUUCCAUUAGGUUGUUGGUGAGGUAACGGCCCACCAAGCCUUCGAUGGAUAGGGGUUCUGAGAGGAAGGUCCCCCACAUUGGAACUGAGACACGGUCCAAACUCCUACGGGAGGCAGCAGUGAGGAAUAUUGGUCAAUGGGCGCGAGCCUGAACCAGCCAAGUAGCGUGAAGGAUGACUGCCCUAUGGGUUGUAAACUUCUUUUAUAUUAGAAUAAAGUGCAGUAUGUAUACUGUUUUGUAUGUAUAAUAUGAAUAAGGAUCGGCUAACUCCGUGCCAGCAGCCGCGGUAAUACGGAGGAUCCGAGCGUUAUCCGGAUUUAUUGGGUUUAAAGGGAGCGUAGGUGGACUGGUAAGUCAGUUGUGAAAGUUUGCGGCUCAACCGUAAAAUUGCAGUUGAUACUGUCAGUCUUGAGUACAGUAGAGGUGGGCGGAAUUCGUGGUGUAGCGGUGAAAUGCUUAGAUAUCACGAAGAACUCCGAUUGCGAAGGCAGCUCACUGGACUGCAACUGACACUGAUGCUCGAAAGUGUGGGUAUCAAACAGGAUUAGAUACCCUGGUAGUCCACACAGUAAACGAUGAAUACUCGCUGUUUGCGAUAUACAGUAAGCGGCCAAGCGAAAGCAUUAAGUAUUCCACCUGGGGAGUACGCCGGCAACGGUGAAACUCAAAGGAAUUGACGGGGGCCCGCACAAGCGGAGGAACAUGUGGUUUAAUUCGAUGAUACGCGAGGAACCUUACCCGGGCUUAAAUUGCAGUGGAAUGAUGUGGAAACAUGUCAGUGAGCAAUCACCGCUGUGAAGGUGCUGCAUGGUUGUCGUCAGCUCGUGCCGUGAGGUGUCGGCUUAAGUGCCAUAACGAGCGCAACCCUUAUCUUCAGUUACUAACAGGUCAUGCUGAGGACUCUGGAGAGACUGCCGUCGUAAGAUGUGAGGAAGGUGGGGAUGACGUCAAAUCAGCACGGCCCUUACGUCCGGGGCUACACACGUGUUACAAUGGGGGGUACAGAAGGCAGCUACCUGGUGACAGGAUGCUAAUCCCAAAAGCCUCUCUCAGUUCGGAUCGAAGUCUGCAACCCGACUUCGUGAAGCUGGAUUCGCUAGUAAUCGCGCAUCAGCCACGGCGCGGUGAAUACGUUCCCGGGCCUUGUACACACCGCCCGUCAAGCCAUGGGAGCCGGGGGUACCUGAAGUACGUAACCGCAAGGAGCGUCCUAGGGUAAAACUGGUGACUGGGGCUAAGUCGUAACAAGGUAGCCGUACCGGAAGGUGCGGCUGGAACACCUCCUUUCUGGAGC
rnacentral:rRNA from 1 species